rnacentral:ncRNA from 1 species
GCGCAGCAAGGGCACACCCGUCGAAAGACGGGGCCGCAAAACCACCGGGCUAAAUCCUCCGAGAAGACAGGCCAGCGGGGUUGCCGAU